CCUACGGGAGGCAGCAGUGGGGAAUAUUGCACAAUGGGGGAAACCCUGAUGCAGCGACGCCGCGUGAGUGAAGAAGUAUUUCUGUACGUAAAGCUCUAUCAGCAGGGAAGAAAAAAAGUCCUUUGGACUUUGGACGGUCCCUGACUACGAAGCCCCGGCUAACUACGUGCCAGCAGCCGCGGUAAUACGUAGGGGGCAAGCGUUAUCCGGAUUUCCUGGGUGUAAAGGGAGCGUAGACGGCAGCGCAAGUCUGGAGUGAAAUGCCGGGGCCCAACCCCGGAACUGCUUUGGAAACUGUGCAGCUGGAGUGCAGGAGAGGUAAGCGGAAUUCCUAGUGUAGCGGUGAAAUGCGUAGAUAUUAGGAGGAACACCAGUGGCGAAGGCGGCUUACUGGACUGUAACUGACGUUGAGGCUCGAAAGCGUGGGGAGCAAACAGGAUUAGAUACCCCUGUAGUC
rnacentral:rRNA from 1 species